AUUCCCUUAGUAAUGGCGAAUGAAACGGGAAGAGCCCAUCGUCGAAUCGCAAGUCAUCUCGGCUUUGUGAAAUGUGACGUUUGGGAGGGUCUUCCACGGCUCAGACGAUCAGUCCAAGUCCAACUUGACAGUGGCCACAGCCCAUAGAGGGUGAUAGGCCCGUAAGGCGGUUGUCUGGCUGUGCUGACCUCUCUCUAGAGUCGGAUUGCUUGGGAGUGCAGUCCAAAGUGCGAGGUAAACUCCUCGUAAGGCUAAAUAUAACCCCGAGACCGAUAGCAAACAAGUACAGUGAUGGAAAAUUGAAAAGAACUUUGAAGAGAGAGUUAAGAGUACGUGAAACUGUGUGGUGGUAAACGGAGGCGUUCUCGAAGUGUCCGUGGGGGACUCAAGCUUGGUGGCGGGCAGCCGGCGUUCCCUGAUCAGCAAUGACUGGGUGCGUUGUGCAGGCUUGCCUCCCGGCCGCACUUUCCCCGCGGUUGACGGCAGGAACUGUUGGGACCGGACCAAAGGCCUGGGAUGAAGUUGCCGGCCCUCACGGGCUUGUAGCUCCCGGUGUCCUGGCUUCGGGCCCGACGGGGUAUGAGUGGACUUGUAUAGCAAGCGACAGCCUGUUGCGGUUCACAUCUCUCUGCCGAGUAGGUCGGUGGCGCCUCCGACCCGUCUUGAAACACGGACCAAGGAGUCUAACAUGUAUGCGAGCCAUUGGGUUGACUAAACCUAGCGGCGCAGNGAAAGC
rnacentral:rRNA from 1 species